rnacentral:rRNA from 1 species
UACGUAGGGUCCGAACGUUGUUCGGAAUUACUGGGCGUAAAGCGCGUGUAGGCGGCAACGCAAGUCGGGCGUGAAAUCCCACGGCUCAACCGUGGAAGUGCACUCGAAACUGCGUAGCUAGAGUCCUGGAGAGGAAGGUGGAAUGCUUGGUGUAGAGGUGAAAUUCGUAGAUAUUGGGAAGAACACCAGUGGCGAAGGCGGCUAUCUGGCCCGUUAUUGACGCGUGAGGCGGCGAAAAGCGUGGGGAGCAAACAGG